GGAUCUGUAAUAUAUGUUUAGUAUGCUCAAUUGCAGAUUGAGAUGAGGGAGGUCUU
rnacentral:tRNA from 1 species